rnacentral:rRNA from 1 species
UGGGGAAUAUUGCACAAUGGGCGCAAGCCUGAUGCAGCCAUGCCGCGUGUAUGAAGAAGGCCUUCGGGUUGUAAAGUACUUUCAGUCGGGAGGAAGGUGGUAAGGUUAAUAACCUUAUCAAUUGACGUUACCGACAGAAGAAGCACCGGCUAACUCCGUGCCAGCAGCCGCGGUAAUACGGAGGGUGCAAGCGUUAAUCGGAACUACUGGGCGUAAAGCGCACGCAGGCGGUUGAUUGAGUCAGAUGUGAAAUCCCCGGGCUUAACCCGGGAAUUGCAUCUGAUACUGGUCAGCUAGAGUCUUGUAGAGGGGGGUAGAAUUCCAUGUGUAGCGGUGAAAUGCGUAGAGAUGUGGAGGAAUACCGGUGGCGAAGGCGGCCCCCUGGACAAAGACUGACGCUCAGGUGCGAAAGCGUGGGGAGCAAACAGG